rnacentral:misc_RNA from 1 species
AGAUCAAAGAAUAAAUAGCAAGAUAACAGUAAAAACACAACAAAAUGCAGUAUGAAAGUACAUUGAGCUCUAUUUAAAUAACAUUGUUUAUUUGAAUUUUAGAUUACUGUACACAAGUGAGACCAGAAAUACACCUCACAGAACAUUUACAAAGCAACAAUGGAAGGAAGUUCCUGUUCUGCCUCAUGGUCUCCAUCGGACGCCUCCAUGUUUGCCUCAGAAUCCUUUGAUCUAUUCUGUGGGAAGUGUCGGUCAAAUGCACCUUUGCCAUAAAGGAUUUUACCCCCGCAUCCUCGCCCCUCAGUUCCUACAGACUCCUCAUCAACUACAACGGCAUCUAUUACAUCAUCGCCUGUUCUGACAUCAGGAAUCUCAUACAUAGCA